GCCCUGGUGGUGUAGCGGAUAGCAUAGGGGACUUCGGAUCCCCUGACCCGGGUUCGAAUCCCGGCCAGGGCU
rnacentral:tRNA from 1 species